rnacentral:rRNA from 1 species
GAGUUUGAUCCUGGCUCAGGACGAACGCUGGCGGCGUGCCUAACACAUGCAAGUCGAGCGAAGCGCUUGAAUCUGAUUCUUCGGAUGAGGAUUCUUGUGACUGAGCGGCGGACGGGUGAGUAACGCGUGGGCAACCUGCCUUACACAGGGGGAUAACAGUUAGAAAUGACUGCUAAUACCGCAUAAGACCGCAGUACCGCAUGGUACAGCGGUAAAAACUCCGGUGGUGUAAGAUGGGCCCGCGUCUGAUUAGGUAGUUGGCGGGGUAACGGCCCACCAAGCCGACGAUCAGUAGCCGACCUGAGAGGGUGACCGGCCACAUUGGGACUGAGACACGGCCCAGACUCCUACGGGAGGCAGCAGUGGGGAAUAUUGCACAAUGGGGGAAACCCUGAUGCAGCGACGCCGCGUGAGCGAUGAAGUAUUUCGGUAUGUAAAGCUCUAUCAGCAGGGAAGAAAAUGACGGUACCUGACUAAGAAGCCCCGGCUAACUACGUGCCAGCAGCCGCGGUAAUACGUAGGGGGCAAGCGUUAUCCGGAUUUAC